rnacentral:rRNA from 1 species
UACGGAGGGUGCGAGCGUUGUCCGGAAUCACUGGGCGUAAAGGGCGCGUAGGUGGCGCGACAAGUCAACGGUGAAAGCCCGGGGCUCAACCCCGGGUCGGCCGUCGAUACUGUUGGGCUUGAGCACUGUAGAGGCAGAUGGAAUUCCGGGUGUAGCGGUGGAAUGCGUAGAGAUCCGGAAGAACACCGGUGGCGAAGGCGGGUCUCUGGGCCGAUACUGACGCUGAGGAGCGAAAGCGUGGGGAGCGAACAGG